ACCGGCCAUGCCCGCACUCUGUCCAGUUAUUGGUGCCAAACAUACCACCAGCUCAAUACCCCGUUUGGUAUGAGAGUGAAUAAAUACUGUCUAACCCAUUCUGGUGUGGGAUGUCUCAGCCCCGUUCGACUGAGAUAAUGUCCAUGAUAGGGUUUGUCCUAUGUACCGAGUCCAUAUACCAUUUUUUAUGAUAUCUGGUAAGCCCUUUUACGU
rnacentral:lncRNA from 1 species